rnacentral:tRNA from 1 species
GGAGAAGUGGCAGAGCGGUUGAAUGCACCGGUCUUGAAAACCGGCAGAGGCGCGAGCCUCUCGAGGGUUCGAAUCCCUCCUUCUCCGCCA